GAUCGCGUGGCGCAGCGGCAGCGUGUUUGGCUCAGGACCGAGAGGCCUCAAGUUCGAAUCCUGCCGUGUCA
rfam:Branchiostoma floridae genomic scaffold BRAFLscaffold_218, whole genome shotgun sequence.